rnacentral:rRNA from 1 species
AGAGUUUGAUCCUGGCUCAGAUUGAACGCUGGCGGUAUGCUUUACACAUGCAAGUCGAACGGCAGCACGGGGCAACCUGGUGGCGAGUGGCGAACGGGUGAGUAACAUAUCGGAACAUAUCCGGAAGUGGGGGAUAACGUAGCGAAAGUUACGCUAAUACCGCAUAUGCCCUGAGGGGGAAAGGGGGGGAUCGCAAAACCUCUCGCUUUCGGAGUGGCCGAUAUCGGAUUAGCUAGAUGGUGAGGUAAAGGCUCACCAUGGCGACGAUCCGUAGCGGGUCUGAGAGGACGACCCGCCACACUGGAACUGAGACACGGUCCAGACUCCUACGGGAGGCAGCAGUGGGGAAUUUUGGACAAUGGGCGCAAGCCUGAUCCAGCCAUACCGCGUGAGUGAAGAAGGCCUUCGGGUUGUAAAGCUCUUUCAGCCGGAAAGAAAUCGCACUUUUUAAUACGGAGUGUGGAUGACGGUACCGGAAGAAGAAGCACCGGCUAACUACGUGCCAGCAGCCGCGGU